AUUGAACGCUGGCGGAAUGCUUUACACAUGCAAGUCGAACGGCAGCAUAGGUGCUUGCACCUGAUGGCGAGUGGCGAACGGGUGAGUAAUACAUCGGAACGUGCCCAGUCGUGGGGGAUAACGUAGCGAAAGUUACGCUAAUACCGCAUACGAUCUAAGGAUGAAAGCGGGGGACCGUAAGGCCUCGCGCGAUUGGAGCGGCCGAUGUCAGAUUAGGUAGUUGGUGAGGUAAAGGCUCACCAAGCCGACGAUCUGUAGCUGGUCUGAGAGGACGACCAGCCAAACUGGGGAGGAGACACGGCCCAGACUCCUACGGGAGGCAGCAGUGGGGAAUUUUGGACAAUGGACGCAAGUCUGAUCCAGCCAUUCCGCGUGCAGGACGAAGGCCUUCGGGUUGUAAACUGCUUUUGUACGGAACGAAAAAGCUCUUACUAAUACUAGGAGUCCAUGACGGUACCGUAAGAAUAAGCACCGGCUAACUACGUGCCAGCCGCCGCCGUAA
rnacentral:rRNA from 1 species